AUACCGAACAAGUUUUACUGACCGCGCGAAUGCAAGCGAUGACGUCACAAUAUCUCAACGCUUGCCGCCGAACCACAGCGCGCCCCGCGCUGUUUAUUCUGUUCGCGAUACUCGUCCAACACGGAGCGUAACGUCGCCAGUUUAUACCCAAUCGAUUAAUAAGUGAUUUGAUUUGUUUAAUAUUAGAAGGUUUUAUUAUAAUAUAACAAAUCAGUGGUAGAAAUAAGGUAGAUAUCGGUUUUGAGCAAGCGCAAUCCGAUAAUCUACCUAAAUGGUAUUUGAUUAUCUUAGUAAUCAUUUAAACUACACAAGCGCUGUAAUUCGUGGUUGGAAACUUCAGAGGUCAGGGCGUGAAUCAUAUGGUGAUGAAGCUGUGGGAUUUGUUCAAGUGCAAAAAACAGGAGAUAUAUGCACAGUCAAAGCAAAAAUUACACCAGAACAUAAAAUAAAGGGUAAAGCUUAUUGCUGCACAUUUACUUGUGAUGAAACACAAGAAAUAAUACUAAACAUUGAGUGUCAUGAUUGUGCUGCUCAACUGGGAGGUUGUAAGCACGGUAUAGCAUUUUCUUAUGUGGCUUUACAAACGAAGCGAGGAA